GACGAACGCUGGCGGCGCGCCUAAUACAUGCAAGUCGAGCGAACCACUUCGGUGGUGAGCGGCGAACGGGUGAGUAACACGUAGGUGAUCUGCCCAUCAGACGGGGACAACGAUUGGAAACGAUCGCUAAUACCGGAUAGGACGAAAGUUUAAAGGUGCUUCUGGCACCGCUGAUGGAUGAGCCUGCGGCGCAUUAGCUAGUUGGUAGGGUAAAGGCCUACCAAGGCGACGAUGCGUAGCCGACCUGAGAGGGUGAACGGCCACACUGGGACUGAGACACGGCCCAGACUCCUACGGGAGGCAGCAGUAGGGAAUCUUCGGCAAUGGGCGAAAGCCUGACCGAGCAACGCCGCGUGAAUGAUGAAGGCCUUCGGGUUGUAAAAUUCUGUUAUAAGGGAAGAACGACUUUAGUAGGAAAUGGCUAGAGUGUGACGGUACCUUAUGAGAAAGCCACGGCUAACUACGUGCCAGCCGCCGCAGUAA
rnacentral:rRNA from 1 species